CAUUCUGUAUGGGAUGACUGAGAAAGAAUGUGGUGAUUCACCUCACCUCACACCCUGCAAUGGUCCAUGAGUCAGAAGGGUACCUGGGCGUGGCCUUCUACUGAGCCUCUACUUUCAAUGCUCGUUAUCCCUGUUCUGGGAAAAUCAGUGAAGCUUCAGCAACGACAGCCUGACAGGAUUCCUUGAGCUUGAGCUUCUGAGGCCUCAAUCCAGCCUAUUCCUCUGCCUGUUUCUGCUAAGACAAGUACAAGCCUGCCUUCCAAUGACCUCCAAUCAAAACCAAUCAAAUCUACAAAGUUAAUUGUAGUAUUGCCUAAGCACUCAGAGGCCCAAUAAAUAAUGAAUGCUUAUUAAA